ACUGUUUCGGCAGAGACGGUUGACUAGAGAGGAUCGAAUCAAUAUCGCCAAGGAAUUUUUGAACUUCACGGGAAUGUAAACAGGUUGGGAUAGUGACAUGGCCUCACUUCCCCUGCUGGUCUACCUCCUGCCACCACCUCCAAGUGGAAAGAAGGGAGUUGUCAAAAUCAGUAUCCGGGAAGCUGUGGAUCGUGUAGUGAAGUUUCACAAGGUAAUUGUACCCUGAUAAUUUUUUUAUUUUCUUUAAAGGUCCCAUGGCAUGCCGCCAGAGCUUGUGUGUUGCUGAUGGAUGUCACAAUCUCUGUGUUUGUCAAUCUACUCAUCGAGUCUUAAACAAAAUGGCGUUGACGGGUGAUCUACUGAUGGUAUUGUGUGUAUAAAAUGUACUUUUUAAUAAACAAUCUGUACACUUACAAAGUUCUCAAUGCCUCGUUUUAUAUGUUAAUACCCUUAUGUACUACCAAAGAAGUGUCGGGC
ensembl:lncRNA